rnacentral:tRNA from 1 species
GGGCGGAUGGUUUAGUGGUAUAAUUUUCCCUUAGCAUCUUUCAACCUUUGAGUUGGAUAAUCGCAUGGGAAAGGUCCGGGGUUCGAUUCCCCGUUCGUCCA